rnacentral:rRNA from 1 species
GACGAACGCUGGCGGCGUGCCUAAUACAUGCAAGUCGAACGCAGUGGGGACGGGUGAGUAACACGUGGGUAACCUCCCAUCAGAGGGGAUAACACUUGGAAACAGGUGCUAAACCGAUACUGAUGGAUGGACCCGCGGUGCAUUAGCUAGUUGGGGAGGUACCGGCUCACCAAGGCCACGAUGCAUAGCCGACUGGAGAGGGGGAUCGGCCAGACUGGGACUACGGCACGGCCCAGACUCCUGCUGGAGGAAGCAGUAGGGAAGCUUCGGCAAAGGACGAAAGUCUGACCGAGCAACGCCGCGUGAGUGAAGAAGGUGUUCGGAUCGGAAAACUCUGUUGUUAGAGAAGCGGUAUCUAGCCAGAAAGCCACAGCUAACUCCGUGCCAGCCGCGGUAAUAC